rnacentral:rRNA from 1 species
UGGGGAAUCUUGCGCAAUGGACGAAAGUCUGACGCAGCCACGCCGCGUGAGUGAAGAAGGCCUUCGGGUUGUAAAGCUCUGUCGGGAGGGACGAAAAUCUUUACGGUGAAUAGCCGUAGAGACUGACGGUACCUCCAAAGGAAGCACCGGCUAACUUCGUGCCAGCAGCCGCGGUAAUACGAGGGGUGCAAGCGUUGCUCGGAAUUAUUGGGCGUAAAGGGUAGGUAGGUGGUCUCAUUUGUCAGGGGUGAAAGCCUUAGGCUUAACCUAAGAAGUGCCCCUGAAACGGUGAGACUCGAGUACUGGAGAGGGUCGUGGAAUUCCCGGUGUAGCGGUGAAAUGCGUAGAGAUCGGGAGGAACACCAGAGGCGAAGGCGGCGACCUGGACAGUUACUGACACUCAACUACGAAAGCGUGGGGAGCAAACAGGAUUAGAUACCCCCGUAGUCCCUGAGCGGGCUGGCAAGGCGCAU